UACGUAGGGGGCAAGCGUUGUCCGGAAUCAUUGGGCGUAAAGCGCGUGUAGGCGGCUUAGUAAGUCUGCUCUGAAAGCCCGGGGCUCAACCCUGGGAGGCGGGUGGAUACUGCUGAGCUUGAGUCCGGAAGAGGCGAGUGGAAUUCCUGGUGUAGCGGUGAAAUGCGCAGAUAUCAGGAGGAACACCAAUGGCGAAGGCAGGCUCGCUGGGACGGUACUGACGCUGGAGACGCGAAAGCGUGGGGAGCAAACAGG
rnacentral:rRNA from 1 species